GAAUUAAUUGGUGCAAUCUAGUUAAUUUGGGGCAUUGUCAUUCAUGGUUUGUUGAAAGAGUAAUUGGAGAUCGAAUUGUAUACAUAUGUUCAUGUGUGGAUAAGGAACCCUCUAACUAGCUUCUCACCAUUCUAUUUUAUCACAAUCUGUUUUGCUUUGCAUUUGUUUUCAAAGUUAAGUUUUAAAGUUUUAAUUUCGUCACAAUCAAUCCCCCAUUUAUUUUAAAGUGUUAGAUUAGUUAGAAAUCCAUUUAGUUGUGUUUUAAGUGUUUUGAGUCAAGUCAUAGUCCAAAUUCGUCCAAACUAGUGUUAGGUACUCAAAACUGCCCAGAAAGUGGUUUUAAGGCAGUUUUGAGCCUUCUAGUUGCUGUUUUGAGUUUUUAGUUUGUUUAGGUGUUUUAAAUUCUAGUUUUGCAUUAAUUGAGUUUAGUUUAGUGUCCUACAUUAUAAUUUUAUGUUCUUGAGUCAGAUUUACAUUGAUUAGCAUCCCUAGUUAAUCCCCGGUCUAGAACGAUCCCUAUUUGCUCAUAUACUACAAUUGUCAUCCAUAGGGUUUAAUUUGUGUGUCAAGUUAAUUUUCACAUCACGGCCAGCACACCUGGAUCAUCCGGAUCGGGGUGUGUCAAUCAACUUGUGUAAAUAUUUUAAAUUGAUGAUCAAAUUCAAUCAUUGUAUUCGUAUUGGGUCAAGGAGUGUAGUUGUAAAAAAUCAUCAAAAUCGGAGUUAAAAUAACCGUUAAAUCGUGAUUUUUUUAUUUUUAACCGUCGAAAAGGUUUGUGUCAUGGUUGAUCUCUGAAUGUUAGUUUUUUGUGAUUUUUGGCGUAUACGAUCUCGAAGCGUAUACAAACAAGUUUGACGGUUGGAUCGUUGAAAUUAGUUUCAUAGAAUUUGUAUCUCAUCAAAACGAUAGAUUCACUAACACUUAGAUUUUAUUUAUACUUUCAUUAAGUAUAACAUAAGAUUUUGUGGUAUCCACUUGUGUAAAUAUUUUAAAUUGACGAUCAAAUUCAUUCAUUGUAUUCGUAUAGGGUCAAGGAGUGUAGUUGUUAAAAAUCAUCAAAAUCGGAGUUAAAAUAACCGUUAAAUCGUGAUUUUUUGUUUUAUAACCGUCGAAAAGUUUUGUCUCAUUACUUGAUCUUUGAAUGUUUUUUUUUGUGAUUUUUGGCGUAUGCGAUCUCGAAGCAUAUACAAACAAUUUUGACGGUUGGAUCCUUAAAAUUAGUUUUCGUGUAUCCGAUCAAGUUCAAGGGUGUGUAUAUAUAUAUGAUGUAGAUUUAAAUCUUUUUAGUUUGUACGUAUAAUUAUUAUAGUUUUUAGGGGUAUAAAUUUAUUUUAAAACUUAAUAUAUA
rnacentral:lncRNA from 1 species